rnacentral:rRNA from 1 species
UACAGAGGGUGCAAGCGUUAAUCGGAAUUACUGGGCGUAAAGGGCGUGUAGGUGGUUGUAUAAGUUGGUUGUGAAAUCCCUGGGCUUAACCUAGGAAUGGCAACUGAGACUGUAUAACUAGAGUACGGUAGAGGGUAGUGGAAUUUCCGGUGUAGCGGUGAAAUGCGUAGAGAUCGGAAGGAACACCAGUGGCGAAGGCGGCUACCUGGACUGAUACUGACACUGAGGUACGAAAGCGUGGGGAGCAAACAGG